CUGAGCGUACCGGAUGGGUGGCGAUGACGUCGACCUCCUGCGUUUCUCGCAUGCAGUUGCUGAACACGAUUAUUGAUUUUUCAUCAGCGGCCACCCUCCUUUCGGCAGCAUCUCAGCUUGGGGGUCAGCAAGGCCAACCACUCAGCCCCAGGGGUUUGGGGCUGUGGAGCACCUUCCUUCAUGGACACUACCUCCGAAGUGCCCCCUUAGCCUCAGCUACACGAAACAGGAGCAGAACCAGAGAAGCAAACAGAGAAACAGCAAUCAGAACCGCUGGUGAGUAUUUCCUGGGGGAAAUUAAAAGACAUUAUUGAUCCACUGAGGAUUUUGCCGAGGCUGGGAAGGGAAGCCCAGAGUGCAGCGCGU